rnacentral:lncRNA from 1 species
AGGAGCAAAAAGUUUGGCUUUUGCCACCAGAUAGCCAUAGGUUUGGGUGUGUUGGGGAGGAGAUCCUCCGCGGGCCUUCGCCAUCUGUGUGCGCGCUUUUGGGGAACCGAGAAAAGCCAUCGCGUCCCAAACACAGCGCCCGGGGACCACUCCGGGCACAGGCUUUGUGCUCCCUGCGAAUCGCCAAACGAUAAAGUGCCUGGAGGUCCCGCUCCUGAGGCUUCCGGAUCCAAAGCGAGCAUAGGGUCCCUCCCUUUUGCAAGUCAAUUCCAGAAAAAUCCGCCACCCCCGCAGAGGAGCCCCUUACUACGUUCCCCAAGGGCCCUGCGCACUGUCCUGCCCUGGCAGGGCCCCCGGCUCGCGCAAACCUCUCCGGCGCCUCUCGCACCACCUCACCUCUCCAGCAGCCUCCCUCCGCCGGCGUGCACCCACCGCGGGCACCCCUCGCACCCCCACCGCUCCGACAGCCUCCCUCCGCCGGCGUGCCCCCACCUCGGGCUCCCGUCGCGUCCCAGCCCGGGCAGCCUCACCCCAGCGCGCCAGGUGAGCGCACGGCGUCGGCUCCCGUCUCGCGUGGAUCCGCGCGGCUCGCGGCGCCGCGGCCAGGUCAGCGCGCGCCACCGCGGCGGAAAGAGGGAGCGCGGAGGGGGAAGCGGCGCCCUGACGCUGCCACGCCGCCACCACCCCACCCCCGUCAAAAUCCCGGGCUCCCGCCGCAAUCCGAGAAGGCCCCCCGGGGAAGCGAGGCGCAGCUUCCGAGCCUGCUGCUCGCUGGGAGAUGCAGAGGACGCGAGCCGGAAUGAGCUUGGGCCCCCGCGCUCCUCCCCCACUCGCGGCUGUGACCCCGGCUCCCACCUCCGAGCCCUGGGUGACGCGGGCUGGGACAGCCGGGAGCAGCCGUGCUCCCCCUCUCCCCCGGUUCCUUCCCGAAAUCACGCCCUACCCUCGCUGGGGGCCCAGCCGCAAGCGCGCUGUCAGGGGUUGAAACACCGAGAAAAAUGCAAACCUGGAGGACAACGAAUUCCCGGACAAGGAAUUCCCAGACGCCCCAAGCGGCGGUAUUAG